rnacentral:rRNA from 1 species
GUUCCUACGGGGCGUAGCCGUGAGGAAUAUUGGUCAAUGGUCGGGAGACUGAACCAGCCAAGCCGCGUGAGGGAUGAAGGUACAGAGUAUCGUAAACCUCUUUUGUGAGGGAACAAAGGCGGGGACGUGUCCCCGGAUGAGUGUACCUGAAGAAAAAGCAUCGGCUAACUCCGUGCCAGCAGCCGCGGUAAUACGGAGGAUGCGAGCGUUAUCCGGAUUUAUUGGGUUUAAAGGGUGCGCAGGCGGUCUGUUAAGUCAGCGGUCAAAGCCCGGGGCUCAACCCCGUCCCGCCGUUUCAACCGGCA